CGGCGGGCCUGUUCCGUCGCCCCGUUCCCCUUCCCCCACGAACAAAACCCCGGCGCACGAUGCGCCAAGGAAUCGCAACGAGAAAAGGAACGAGCACCCGUUGCGCGUCGGGAACGGAAUGCGCACGGGCGGCCUCGUAUUCUUUGAAAACAAAACGACUCUCGGCAACGGAUAUCUCGGCUCUCGCAUCGAUGAAGAACGUAGCGAAAUGCGAUACUUGGUGUGAAUUGCAGAAUCCCGUGAACCAUCGAGUCUUUGAACGCAAGUUGCGCCCGAAGCCUUCGGGCCGAGGGCACGUCUGCCUGGGUGUCAUGCACCGUCGCCCCCCAUCCCCACUCCCACGAGGGGAGUCGGGAAGCCCGGGGCGGACAAUGGCCUCCCGUGCGCUCUCGCUCGCGGUUGGCCUAAAUCCGAGUUGUUGGCGGCGAGCGCCACGGUAAGCGGUGGUUGGAAAGACCCUCUGAAGUGCCG
rnacentral:rRNA from 1 species